GAGUUCCCGCUGUGGUACCGUGGGUUAAGGAUCAGAUUGCAGUGGCUCGGGUUGCUGCAGAGGUUCAGAUUUGAGCCCUGGCCCAGGAACUUUCAUGUGCCGCAGGUGAGGGCAUAAAAUCUUUAAAAAUUUAAAAAAUUAAAUGAAAUGUAAAUAUAAUAAUAUUUCAUAAUAAUCUCUAAAGGAAGAGAAUCUGAAGCAUGUAUAUGUAUGUAUAUACAUAUAUAUCUGAAUUACUGUGCUGUGUACCUGAAACUAACAUGAUAUUGUAAAUCAACUAUAUUUCAAUUAAAAAUGGAAAAAAAAGGAAAUAUAAUACCACAUAGGGUUGUGUGGGUUAGAUGACAUACUAUGGAUUCACAUGUUUGGUAAAUUUGAAUGUGUUCUAUAAAUGUGAGAAAUUAAUAGAUGUGGUAUUAAUUAUAAUGAUUAGAGGAAGAGCAGAGGGAAGAAAUGUACUUGAAAGGAAGACUCUAGGCAGAUCAAAUGCUUGAUUCAUAAAUUAACGUGUGAUGAUGGAAUUUGAAGGCCUGGAUCAGAGAUGAUUCAGUAGGAACCUUCAGUACAUCCCGCACGUAACACCAGGUAGGCAGCAGCCUCACGUGUUCCUGAGCCCCUUUCUCUAGUUUUGUUUCUCCCUUGCCUAUGACUUCAUAUUAUUUUACCUCUUCAGACUCCAAAUAUCAAGAGUAAACUGCCGUGCAAUAAGUUGAGAGACCAGAAGGCAUCUUUAAUCAUUUACCUCUCUCCUCUUUGUCUCAUUUCCCCCUUGUGCAAAAUAUCGUGCCAUCUGACUUUUUUCUUUCCACCUGUGAAUAUCGAGAAAUAAAGCAAGAUGUUGUUUGCAAAGUUUUCUCAUAUGCUUGUCUGAGAGACGUUAUAUAAAUAUAAAACCUAUUUUUAACUUCCCUUGCUGGAAAUAAAAUAACCCUCAUGAGCAUAUAUGAAUCAAUACAGCCUUUUCUGGACUAGUACCUACUACAAAGAUGCUUCUGAAGAGUUACAAGUUAAAGUAUCUCUACUGUGGUCUAGCCCUUCGUUCAUCAAACUGAUUGCAUAAAGGAGCUCUGAUUUCAGUAGCAGUUAACAUUUUAAUCUGGUUCUUUUAAGGAAUUUCAUUGUAAUUAAGGAGUUGAGUAUCCGUGAGAAUCUUUGGUUCACGGAACAUUUUUCUAGAGAUGAGCAUUCAGGGGCUAGAUUGAGUUCUGUAACCACUUCUGGCUUUUUAAAAAUAGGUUUGACGUGGCAUGUUCAUGUUUGCUCAUUUGCCGUAACAGCGUGUUCUUCCCAUUGUUUGAAGUGCUGAGUGUUACAUGCAUUUUAGGAAAGUUUCUGGAGAAGUUAAUGCCAGUUGAAAUGUAUUUGUUUCAGAGUUGAAAUCAGAGGAUGAUGAGUGAGUAGGUGCUUAAGCUCAGGAUAAUUUAAGUUUGGAGCGCAGAGCCAAACCCAACUUCUAUUAAAAAUGCUCACUCCUCAACUUUUGAGUUAAGGAUGUUUGGGAAUCCAAGAUACUGUAAUUAUCUCAACAGUGAUUUUUUUUUUUUUGCAUUCUGUACAAUAUCAUUAUUUCACUGUUUCAGAAAGAGGGUAAUUUUAAGUGAAUUUCCAAGAGAAUAUCUCUAGGACUCAGGUCCACCCCACCAAAUGUCUCCUCUUCAUUAAUAGGCAAAAUAUUUUUUAUCUUAGAGAAUGUUUUAGGCAUGUCAGUCCUAGGAGAGACCCAGCUCAGCUUUUGAAGGGUCACGGGUGAUCGGCUUAUUGUUGAAGGGCAUUUCUAAUUAAGAUGGAAGGGCUUUCUUUUAAGUUUCUGGAGGAUGAAGAUCACAUUUGUUGGCAUUUAAAAAAUAAUGCUUUCUUUAAGGGACAAAGAUGAGUACUCUAAACAGCAUUUAAUCACAAUGCUGGUAAUUCACAAAACAAAAUAGUGUCAUUUGAUUACAACAUAAUGAUGAGCGUGUGGGCAGAAAACCAUUUGUCCACUGCAAGAAUCUCCAAGUGGUGCAUCAAAGCAGUGCUUCAAGGCUAUGAUGCCAUCAGAUGGGCAAAAGGAGGUUGUUGAGCAUGCAGAAGUCAAACACUUGACUUUCAUUAUAAUUCUCAAGGGUUUGCAGGAAGAGUUUGAUGGGUGAAAUGAAGAUGCUGGUGUUUUAUCUGCCUGAAGGUGGUAAGUGUGGCUUAAGAUAACUUUCUAGUCUAUAGUUUUAAGGUAGAUGAUCAGGAACUGGGCGGAUGUUGAGAUUUGAGACCUCGGCUCAUCUGUUGUAGAAUAAGCAACGUCUCAGUCACUCAAUGAUUACCCGAGGUUAUUAUGGUGACCGAAAUAAUGGCUCAUCAGAUAACACGAUAGACUAUUACUGUGUUUUGUUUUGUUUUCUAAAGCUGUGUAAAUAGUCUUAGAGGUCAAUGUAAUGAGCUCAACAGUCAUCCAGGUUGUGAUGGAAGUGGUUGCUGGACUCUGCACUAAAUGAUCCAGGGAGUUUAUUGGUGUGCCGUAAGGAAGACUCUUGGUUAUCAUAGAUUUUUCAGACAGGGUCCUACAAGAAGAGGCAUUGGUUGGAUGACUUUAAGGUGGGGUCUUGAGCAUUUUCAGAACUCUGUAGAGUUCAAAACCCAGGUACAACAUUUCUGCAGAUUCCAAACCUACACCCUGCACUGACCUAUGUAUUGAAGGGAAAAUGAUUUCAGAUGAUUUUUAAAAGACAAAAUCUUGUAAAGUGAAUAGAGGUAACCACACUUCAUUUAAAUGUUUUCUUUAUACUUACGAUUUUCCAUUAGGUGCAAUUUCCCCCUUUAAACAAAUAUUUUACAAUUACUCUUUGAAGAGUUAGUUCCCUGGUGGCUCAGCGGAUUAAGGAUCUGGUGUUGUCACUGCUGUGCCUCUGGUUACUGCUAUGGUGUGGGUUCGAUCCCUGGCUGGGGAACUUCCAUAUGCCUGGGGCUCAGACAAAAAAACAAAACAAAACACAGUAGUUGAGAUUCUCAACAAAAACUGUGGUUCUCGGAGUUCCCUUCCUGGCUCAGCAGUUAACGUGCCUGACUAAGAUCCGCAAGGAUGCAGGUUCGAUCCCUUGCCUCAUUCAGUGGGUUAAGGAUCCGGUGUUGCUGUGAGCUACGGUGUAUGUAUGUCGAAGAUGUGGCUCAGAUCCCGUGUUGCUGUGGCUGUGGCGUAGGCCAGCAGCUACAACUCCUGAUUCGUCCCCUAGCCUUAGUUCGUGGAUAAUUAGGUCCUUUCCAAGACCUGAAGCCCGGACGCUUCCAGAAAAUACAUUUUUUCAUCAGUUCUGCUUGAGACUGGAUUAGCACAUCUUCCCCAUAUAUUUCUCUUUCAUGCAAUGGUCAAAUGUGGGCAGUUAAUUUUGCUGGAAAAUUGUUGUUCGUUUUCUUAGGCCAUCUGGGGCCUGCUGUGAUGGACUAUUGUCUUUUGGAUUAAUGGUUGUAGACACGUGAAUAUUUCUUGCGGGUCUUGAAAGUUAUUUUACGGAGUUCCUCUGUGGCUCAGCGGAUUAAGGACCCAGCCUUGUCACUGCAGUGUCUUGGGUUGCUGCUGUGGCGUGGGUUCAGUCUCUGGCCCCGGGAACUUCCACAAGCUGCAGGUGUGGCCAAAAAGUAAAAAGAAAGAAAGUUGUUUUACUUUGAUGCCGCAUGGGUACUUUCAGCUCAGGCUCAAGAUUAAAAGUUGGAACGGGGACUGGGCACUCGAUUUGAAGAUGGAGAAACAGGACGCUAUAAAAAUAAGUGCUGCUGCUGCUCUACAGCACAGGGAACUCUACCCAAUGUUCUGUGAUAACCUAGAUGGGAAACAAAUCUGAAAACGAACGGAUACAUGUGAGCCUCGUCUGCAACCUACACCACAGCUCAUGGCAAUGCCGGAUCCUUAACCCACUGAGCGAGGCCAGGGAUCGAACCCAUGAUCUCAUGGUUCCUAGUCGGAUUCCUUCCUGCUGUAUAUUUUACCCCUUACCUAUGCUAUUGAAAACCCAUAUAUUAUUUGUUCGGGAGCCCUGCUAUCUGUAUCACUAGGAAAAAUGCCUAUCCACAGCCCCAGCUCAUGCAUACAUGUGUGCACACACCUGUACACACACACACACACACACACACACACACACACACACACACACCUCUACGCUCUGACUCUACUCAUCAUCUACCUGCCCAUGAACCUACAGCCAUCGCUUGUGCUAUAGGGCAGGUGUGUGUUAGUCCGAAUGAGUAGUACUUACGAUUGAAUCUAAACAUUUGUCACCACUCCCUUUUAAUUAAGCAAAAGAAAUAAAACGAUCACGGUCAAGUUUCCCAUUUUGUAGUUAAAAAACUGCCAUUUAAAUAAAGGGGAAAAGAACCCCCAAAACAAAGAGCAGAAGUUGAGGGUCCCAGGACAUUUUCCUUGGCUCUGGGUACUUACCCCAGUGAGAGGUGUCAGGAUGGCUCUGAUCCUCUCCUGGCUGGGCUUUUGCUCCAUCUGUCCUGGGACAGCUCAGAGGCACAGUGAGGACAGCGGCCUGGGGUGGAUGGUACACAUGUGAAUCCCUGGUAGGGCUGGAGCUGGGGUCAUCUCUGAACGCUGGUCUCUUCCUCUCUGGGCCAUUUUUUGCUCCCUUGUUAAAUUCAAAAGUCUGUAUUUUCUGUCGUGUGGUCUGCUGAGGAAGCGACAUUCCUAAGUGGAACACUAAGCUGAAAGCUUUCGUCCCCGGCCUUGCGCUUGCAGAGUCUGGCUUUGUGGGCCCAUGUUAUCCUGUUUUUACUGCGCUGAGACUCUGCGUGUGGAUUUGUAAAUACCGGUGAUAGGAUUUUCUCAGUGAUGCUAUUUGGCUGACCUCAAAGUGCCAAAUUAUUUUGACACUUUUUGAAGAAGUGUUUUUACCACUACCACCACCCUCCCCCCCAAAAAACUGGAAGCUGGGAAGACUCGUCAUAAAUAGAUGAAAAUUUAAGGGCUAUAAGAAGAUACUAAAGGUACUCAGUGUUGGUAUUUUUUCAAUUUGAGCCUCAGUAAGCUUGGGCCUGAUAGCUUUAUUUCAACUUGAAAUCCGGAGUUCCUGUCGUGGUGCAGCAGAAACAAAUCCGACUAGGAACCAUGAGGUUGCAGGUUUGAUCCCUGGCCUUGCUCAGUGCGUUGAGGAUCUGGUGUGGCUGUGAGCUGUGGUGUAGGUCGCAGAUGCAGCUCAGAUCCUGCGUUGCUGUGGCUCUGGUGUAGGAUGGUGGCCACAGCUCUGAUUAGAUCCCUAACCUGGGAACUUCCAUAUGCUGCGGUGCAGCCCUAAAAAGACA
rnacentral:lncRNA from 1 species